AGGGAAACCGAGUCUUAACCGGGCGUUAAGUUGCAGGGUAUAGACCCGAAACCCGGUGAUCUAGCCAUGGGCAGGUUGAAGGUUGGGUAACACUAACUGGAGGACCGAACCGACUAAUGUUGAAAAAUUAGCGGAUGACCUGUGGCUGGGGGUGAAAGGCCAAUCAAACCGGGAGAUAGCUGGUUCUCCCCGAAAGCUAUUUAGGUAGCGCCUCGUGAACUCAUCUCCGGGGGUAGAGCACUGUUUCGGCUAGGGGGCCAUCCCGGCUUACCAACCCGAUGCAAACUGCGAAUACCGGAGAAUGUUAUCACGGGAGACACACGGCGGGUGCUAACGUCCGUCGUGAAGAGGGAAACAACCCAGACCGCCAGCUAAGGUCCCAAAGUCAUGGUUAAGUGGGAAACGAUGUGGGAAGGCCCAGACAGCCAGGAUGUUGGCUUAGAAGCAGCCAUCAUUUAAAGAAAGCGUAAUAGCUCACUGGUCGAGUCGGCCUGCGCGGAAGAUGUAACGGGGCUAAACCAUGCACCGAAGCUGCGGCAGCGACACUGUGUGUUGUUGGGUAGGGGAGCGUUCUGUAAGCCUGUGAAGGUGGCCUGUGAGGGUUGCUGGAGGUAUCAGAAGUGCGAAUGCUGACAUAAGUAACGAUAAAGCGGGUGAAAAGCCCGCUCGCCGGAAGACCAAGGGUUCCUGUCCAACGUUAAUCGGGGCAGGGUGAGUCGACCCCUAAGGCGAGGCCGAAAGGCGUAGUCGAUGGGAAACGGGUUAAUAUUCCCGUACUUGGUGUUACUGCGAAGGGGGGACGGAGAAGGCUAUGUUGGCCGGGCGACGGUUGUCCCGGUUUAAGCGUGUAGGUGUGUGUUCCAGGUAAAUCCGGUUCACUUUAACACUGAGGCGUGACGACGAGGCACUACGGUGCUGAAGCAACAAAUGCCCUGCUUCCAGGAAAAGCCUCUAAGCAUCAGGUAACAUCAAAUCGUACCCCAAACCGACACAGGUGGUCAGGUAGAGAAUACCAAGGCGCUUGAGAGAACUCGGGUGAAGGAACUAGGCAAAAUGGUGCCGUAACUUCGGGAGAAGGCACGCUGACACGUAGGUGAAGUGAUUUACUCAUGGAGCUGAAGUCAGUCGAAGAUACCAGCUGGCUGCAACUGUUUAUUAAAAACACAGCACUGUGCAAACACGAAAGUGGACGUAUACGGUGUGACGCCUGCCCGGUGCCGGAAGGUUAAUUGAUGGGGUCAGCGCAAGCGAAGCUCCUGAUCGAAGCCCCGGUAAACGGCGGCCGUAACUAUAACGGUCCUAAGGUAGCGAAAUUCCUUGUCGGGUAAGUUCCGACCUGCACGAAUGGCGUAAUGAUGGCCAGGCUGUCUCCACCCGAGACUCAGUGAAAUUGAACUCGCUGUGAAGAUGCAGUGUACCCGCGGCAAGACGGAAAGACCCCGUGAACCUUUACUAUAGCUUGACACUGAACAUUGAGCCUUGAUGUGUAGGAUAGGUGGGAGGCUUUGAAGCGUGGACGCCAGUCUGCGUGGAGCCGACCUUGAAAUACCACCCUUUAAUGUUUGAUGUUCUAACGUGGACCCGUAAUCCGGGUUGCGGACAGUGUCUGGUGGGUAGUUUGACUGGGGCGGUCUCCUCCUAAAGAGUAACGGAGGAGCACGAAGGUUGGCUAAUCCUGGUCGGACAUCAGGAGGUUAGUGCAAUGGCAUAAGCCAGCUUGACUGCGAGCGUGACGGCGCGAGCAGGUGCGAAAGCAGGUCAUAGUGAUCCGGUGGUUCUGAAUGGAAGGGCCAUCGCUCAACGGAUAAAAGGUACUCCGGGGAUAACAGGCUGAUACCGCCCAAGAGUUCAUAUCGACGGCGGUGUUUGGCACCUCGAUGUCGGCUCAUCACAUCCUGGGGCUGAAGUAGGUCCCAAGGGUAUGGCUGUUCGCCAUUUAAAGUGGUACGCGAGCUGGGUUUAGAACGUCGUGAGACAGUUCGGUCCCUAUCUGCCGUGGGCGCUGGAGAACUGAGGGGGGCUGCUCCUAGUACGAGAGGACCGGAGUGGACGCAUCACUGGUGUUCGGGUUGUCAUGCCAAUGGCACUGCCCGGUAGCUAAAUGCGGAAGAGAUAAGUGCUGAAAGCAUCUAAGCACGAAACUUGCCCCGA
rnacentral:rRNA from 1 species